GAUGAACGCUGGCGGCGUGCCUAAUACAUGCAAGUCGAGCGAACAGACGAGGAGCUUGCUCCUCUGACGUUAGCGGCGGACGGGUGAGUAACACGUGGAUAACCUACCUAUAAGACUGGGAUAACUUCGGGAAACCGGAGCUAAUACCGGAUAAUAUAUUGAACCGCAUGGUUCAAUAGUGAAAGACGGUUUUGCUGUCACUUAUAGAUGGAUCCGCGCCGCAUUAGCUAGUUGGUAAGGUAACGGCUUACCAAGGCAACGAUGCGUAGCCGACCUGAGAGGGUGGUCGGCCACACUGGAACUGAGACACGGUCCAGACUCCUACGGGAGGCAGCAGUAUGGAAUCUUCCGCAAAGGGCGAAAGCUUGACGGAGCAACGCCGCGUGAGUGAUGAAGGUCUUCGGAUCGUAAAACUCUGUUAUUAGGGAAGAACAAAUGUGUAAGUAACUAUGCACGUCUUGACGGUACCUAAUCAGAAAGCCACGGCUAACUACGUG
rnacentral:rRNA from 1 species